GAGUCCCGAGAAGAGACAUGUUUAUUCCAAGCCACAAAGUGGGGCAGGAAUUCACACUCCUGCCCUGUGCUGUGACAGAUGAGUGAUCCUGGGAAGGACACGGAGCACGCCGGAUCCAGGGAAGACCAGCUGCCCCAGGGCCCAGGCAGACUGCUAGUCCCAGCAGCCCAGCCCACUGAGCUGCAGAGUGACCAUGGACAGGUCACUAAGUGACUCCGGACCUGGGGUCCCGUCAGCGUGGCCUAUACCCUGCCCACCUCGCGGGGCCAGUGAGUGCCAGUCCUCCUGUCCUCCCCUCCGGAAGUUACCCUUAGGGUUCCACUGCCCACACGCCCUGUCCCCCAGCCCCAUCCUCACAGACGCCCAAUGCCAAGCCCUCACCCUGCACAUUUUACCUAACCUAAACCAGCAGGCUGGGCCCAUAGCAGCCAUCCCUCUGAUGCAUCUGAGACCCAUCUGUUAGCCAGCCAGACAUCUUAGCAGCCCAGAGCCAAGAGAGUGCCAGGAAGGAAGUGAGAGAGGUUUUGAAACCUUCAGAAUAGAUGCUGUGAAGCUUAUACAUGAAGGCCACCCGCUGACGCAUCGGUGAGCCCCAGAUCCCCCACUCAGGGCCUGUCCUGUUUUGCUUCGCCUAGAGUGUUAUUUUGUGCUGCAGCUCACAGCAAAUUAAAAACAACAACUUAACAGUGGGAGAGAGACUGCCAGAGGCGUGCAGGGCAUUGCAGGGCCAUGGGGGGCAGAGGGGGACGGCCACUGAUGGGCACACAGCACAUGGGCGUCCUGAUAACCAGGGAAAGUGGAAAGGAUGACGUAAGAGUGGCCAAAUUAGAGCGAACAACCUAGGAAUCAGGCUCCAUCAAUUUUCAGCCGAGGCCGUUCCUGAACGGCAGCUGAGGAUUCAUAUGCAAAACAAUGACCCAGAGUCACUGAGGAAAGAUCGCACCGUGCCCAUUAUGGAUUUUCUACUUAGCAUGGAUUAUGAAAUCCAGACAGGAAGAGUUUCAUCCAAAAUGGUUUGACAUUUGAGGCAGGUGCUGGCAGGCCAGGAGGAGGCCCCACUUAUGCAGGAAAUCCUCUCGGAGAACCCCCGAGACAGAGGAUGUGGUGGUGUUGUGGUUCUUACAGUAAGUGCGCACCUGUUCCGCACCUGGCUCUGGGGGCCCCCGGGAGGUCGACCAGCGUGCUGCCAGGCUGGCCGGAAAACAGCCGGGCACACGGGACAGGCGCCUUCGGCACAAGGCACGUCAAGAUUCACCCCCCUCCCUCUGAGCUGCAGAGUUCCGGGAAGGAACGACCAAGUCCAGUUGGGGAGGCGGGGCGGGCUCUCCGGGGAAGCGCAGCAGAAGCGUAGCAGGCCGAGAGGGUGGAGAGAAACCAAACAAGCUGGCCUGGCGGCCAACCCUGGCAGGGUGGGAGCUGCAGGGACAGUGUUUACAUGAAGAUACAAGUGUUGAAUAACAGCGUCGGACAGUGCAGUUUCUGAGGAGUAUCUGAACCGAGGCUGCGUUUUCAGAGUUACAGCUGCGGCAGGGCCAAGUUUCAGUUGGGGGGCCAAGUUUCAGUUGGGGGGCGACAGAAGAACUACAUCCCCCUGGACCAGCUGUUUAGAUUCGAGACCCGAGGGAUCACAGCUGGGGUUGGGGAGGAUGGCUUCAUGACGAGUCAAUAUCACCCCACCUCCUCACAUCCUCCUCCGGAAGCAGAGCCUGCGGCUACCCAAACAAGGUUCUGGAGAGUUCUCCCGUGAGCAGCUGGCCCUUGCUGGAAGACAAUAAAUGGUCUCUACUGUCUCUCAUAAGAAGCUGGUCAAGGAGGUCAGAGGAGCCUGGGGUUGGCAGGUGGAGGCAGAGGCAGCGGACGUGGGCUCACGCUCCUGUUGGCCAUCCCAGCUCACCCACCCCACGUCAUGCCCUCUCCUGAUUCUGGGUAAUUGGACACCCCAUGGCUGCCUGUUUCCCCCAUUAUAACUCCUAUCAGUUGUGUUAUAACUGCCUAUCUGUUUCUCCCGUUAGGGAUUCGUGGAAGGCAGAGUUUGUUGGAUUCAUUUCUGUCCUAGUACAUGGCACGGGGCCUGGCACACAGUAGAUCACCGUUAUAUUUUCAUCAAAUAAAUGAAUCAAU